rnacentral:rRNA from 1 species
UACGUAGGGGGCAAGCGUUGUCCGGAAUUAUUGGGCGUAAAGCGCGCGCAGGCGGCGAAUUAAGUCUGGUGUUUAAGGCCGGGGCUCAACCCCGGAACGCAUCGGAAACUGGUUGGCUUGAGUGCAGAAGAGGAGAGUGGAAUUCCACGUGUAGCGGUGAAAUGCGUAGAGAUGUGGAGGAACACCAGUGGCGAAGGCGGACU